UACGUAGGUGACCAGCGUUGUCCGGAUUUACUGGGCGUAAAGAGCGCGCAGGCGGUCGUUCAAGUCGCGUGUGAAAGCCCCCGGCUCAACUGGGGGAGGGUCACGCGAUACGGGCGGACUGGAGGCCAGUAGGGGGAUGCGGAAUUCCGGGUGUAGUGGUGGAAUGCGUAGAGAUCCGGAGGAACACCAGCGGCGAAGGCGGCAUCCUGGACUGGUCCUGACACUCAGGAGCGAAAGCGUGGGGAGCGAUCCGG
rnacentral:rRNA from 1 species